UGAGAUACGGCCCAGACUCNUACGGGAGGCAGCAGUGGGGAAUAUUGCACAAUGGGCGGAAGCCUGAUGCAGCAACGCCGCGUGCGGGAUGACGGCCUUCGGGUUGUAAACCGCUUUCGCCUGUGACGAAGCGUGAGUGACGGUAAUGGGUAAAGAAGCACCGGCUAACUACGCGCCAGCAGCCGCGGUGAUACGUAGGGUGCGAGCGUUGUCCGGAUUUAUUGGGCGUAAAGGGCUCGUAGGUGGUUGAUCGCGUCGGAAGUGUAAUCUUGGGGCUUAACCCUGAGCGUGCUUUCGAUACGGGUUGACUUGAGGAAGGUAGGGGAGAAUGGAAUUCCUGGUGGAGCGGUGGAAUGCGCAGAUAUCAGGAGGAACACCAGUGGCGAAGGCGGUUCUCUGGGCCUUUCCUGACGCUGAGGAGCGAAAGCGUGGGGAGCGAACAGGCUUAGAUACCCUGGUAGUCCACGCUGUAAACGGUGGGUACUAGGUGUGGGGUCCAUUCCACGGGUUCCGCGCCGUAGCUAACGCUUUAAGUACCCCGCCUGGGG
rnacentral:rRNA from 1 species